CAGCAGCCGCGGUAAUACGAAGGGGGCUAGCGUUGCUCGGAAUGACUGGGCGUAAAGGGCGCGUAGGCGGUUUGUACAGUUGGAUGUGAAAUUCCUGGGCUUAACCUGGGGGCUGCAUUCAAUACGUGCAGGCUUGAGUGUGGAAGAGGGUUGUGGAAUUCCCAGUGUAGAGGUGAAAUUCGUAGAUAUUGGGAAGAACACCGGUGGCGAAGGCGGCAACCUGGCUCAUUACUGACGCUGAGGCGCGAAAGCGUGGGGAGCAAACAGGACUAGAGACCCCCGUAGUCCCUGUCUCUUAUAC
rnacentral:rRNA from 1 species